rnacentral:tRNA from 1 species
UUCUGAAAUGGCAGAUAAGUGCAAUGGACUUAAACCCCAUAAAUAAAGAUUUCUUUUUUUGGAAA